GGCACAAGAUCAAACAGUCCUACUCUGAGUAUGAACGUAACGAAGGAUCUGAUCACAUGGUUAUGACAUCAUCAAAGGUCCUUCAGUUUAACACAUAAUCAGCAAGUGUGCUCAGUAGCUGUACUGCUGGGUGUUACAUAGCUCUUGCUUACGACUUACCAAGCAGCUGGGUCUUUAUUCUGCAAACAAUCUUUAUUGGUAACAAUCGAGUGAACAGUGUGAAAGAAUGCACAGGCAUGUGUUUCUAACUGGACCUCCAGGUAUCGGAAAGACCACUUUAAUUCAAAAGGUCUCUGAAGUGUUAACAACAUUUAAAGUUCAUGUUGAUGGAUUUUAUACAGAAGAAGUCCGGCUGGGGCAGAGAAGAGUAGGAUUCGAUGUUGUUACCAUGUCAGGACAGCGAGGAAAAUUGGCAAGAAUUAGCUCUGAUGUAAAAAAUGAGAAUUCCAAAUACAGAGUUGGUCAGUAUUUUGUGGAUAUUGUUUCAUUUGAACAAUUAGUACUCCCUCUCAUGGACCGCUUUUGCAUGGUCCCCACCUCGACCUUCAUCCACAGAAAUAUAUGGGAAGUUGUGGUACUCUUCAUUCUCACCUGCAAUAUGAGGUCAACUCCAGACACAAGGGUGAGAUCUGUCUGCGUUAUUGAUGAAAUUGGAAAAAUGGAGCUAUUUAGCAAACCAUUUAUUUUAGACAUCGGUAAGAUCUUGAAUAACCCAUCUAAUGUGGUGCUUGGUACUUUGCCAGUAUCCAGUGGGAGACUUCUACCAUUUGUUGAAGAAGUAAGAUGUCGCCAGGAUGUUAAACUGUUUAAUGACUUGCCAUUGCUAUGACAACCUCCCCUGCUCUGUGCCUUCAACUGAGCUACUGAAGAGCAUAGAAAAAAGGAAUGUAUCUAAUCCUGUUUUAAAGCUGUUAAUUGUUCCUGCUGUGACCAGUUCCUGAGGUAGACCGUUCCAUAAAUUCACAGUCCUCACGGUCACAAGAGAGAAUAGAGAUCAGGUACUGCAUGAAAUAGUGACCACCAUUCAAGAAGCAUUGAAAAAUACAAAUACAGAUUAAAAAGGGUGAAAUGAUUUACUAGUUAUUGCUCAAUGACACCUUAAAUAAAC